AGAGUUUGAUCCUGGCUCAGGACGAACGCUGGCGGCGUGCCUAAUACAUGCAAGUCGAACGAACUCUGGUAUUGAUUGGUGCUUGCAUCAUGAUUUACAUUUGAGUGAGUGGCGAACUGGUGAGUAACACGUGGGAAACCUGCCCAGAAGCGGGGGAUAACACCUGGAAACAGAUGCUAAUACCGCAUAACAACUUGGACCGCAUGGUCCGAGUUUGAAAGAUGGCUUCGGCUAUCACUUUUGGAUGGUCCCGCGGCGUAUUAGCUAGAUGGUGAGGUAACGGCUCACCAUGGCAAUGAUACGUAGCCGACCUGAGAGGGUAAUCGGCCACAUUGGGACUGAGACACGGCCCAAACUCCUACGGGAGGCAGCAGUAGGGAAUCUUCCACAAUGGACGAAAGUCUGAUGGAGCAACGCCGCGUGAGUGAAGAAGGGUUUCGGCUCGUAAAACUCUGUUGUUAAAGAAGAACAUAUCUGAGAGUAACUGUUCAGGUAUUGACGGUAUUUAACCAGAAAGCCACGGCUAACUACGUGCCAGCAGCCGCGGUAAUACGUAGGUGGCAAGCGUUGUCCGGAUUUAUUGGGCGUAAAGCGAGCGCAGGCGGUUUUUUAAGUCUGAUGUGAAAGCCUUCGGCUCAACCGAAGAAGUGCAUCGGAAACUGGGAAACUUGAGUGCAGAAGAGGACAGUGGAACUCCAUGUGUAGCGGUGAAAUGCGUAGAUAUAUGGAAGAACACCAGUGGCGAAGGCGGCUGUCUGGUCUGUAACUGACGCUGAGGCUCGAAAGUAUGGGUAGCAAACAGGAUUAGAUACCCUGGUAGUCCAUACCGUAAACGAUGAAUGCUAAGUGUUGGAGGGUUUCCGCCCUUCAGUGCUGCAGCUAACGCAUUAAGCAUUCCGCCUGGGGAGUACGGCCGCAAGGCUGAAACUCAAAGGAAUUGACGGGGGCCCGCACAAGCGGUGGAGCAUGUGGUUUAAUUCGAAGCUACGCGAAGAACCUUACCAGGUCUUGACAUACUAUGCAAAUCUAAGAGAUUAGACGUUCCCUUCGGGGACAUGGAUACAGGUGGUGCAUGGUUGUCGUCAGCUCGUGUCGUGAGAUGUUGGGUUAAGUCCCGCAACGAGCGCAACCCUUAUUAUCAGUUGCCAGCAUUAAGUUKGGCACUCUGGUGAGACUGCCGGUGACAAACCGGAGGAAGGUGGGGAUGACGUCAAAUCAUCAUGCCCCUUAUGACCUGGGCUACACACGUGCUACAAUGGAUGGUACAACGAGUUGCGAACUCGCGAGAGUAAGCUAAUCUCUUAAAGCCAUUCUCAGUUCGGAUUGUAGGCUGCAACUCGCCUACAUGAAGUCGGAAUCGCUAGUAAUCGCGGAUCAGCAUGCCGCGGUGAAUACGUUCCCGGGCCUUGUACACACCGCCCGUCACACCAUGAGAGUUUGUAACACCCAAAGUCGGUGGGGUAACCUUUUAGGAACCAGCCGCCUAAGGUGGGACAGAUGAUUAGGGUGAAGUCGUAACAAGGUAACC
rnacentral:rRNA from 2 species